rnacentral:rRNA from 1 species
UACGAAGGGGGCUAGCGUUGCUCGGAAUUACUGGGCGUAAAGCGCACGUAGGCGGCUUUCUAAGUCGGGGGUGAAAUCCUGGAGCUCAACUCCAGAACUGCCUUCGAUACUGGAGGACUUGAGGACGGGAGAGGAGAGUGGAAUUCCCAGUGUAGAGGUGAAAUUCGUAGAUAUUGGGAAGAACACCAAUGGCGAAGGCAGCUCUCGUGCCGUACUGACGCUGAGGCGCGAAAGCGUGGGGAGCAAACAGG